rnacentral:rRNA from 1 species
GAUGAACGCUAGCUACAGGCUUAACACAUGCAAGUCGAGGGGAAACGACAUUGAAGCUUGCUUCGAUGGUCGUCGACCGGCGCACGGGUGAGUAACGCGUAUCCAACCUGCCUCUGACCAAGGGAUAACCCGUCGAAAGUCGGCCUAAUACCUUAUGCAGUCGUCGGAAGUCAUCUGAUGACGACGAAAGAUUUCAUCGGUGAGAGAUGGGGAUGCGUCUGAUUAGCUUGUUGGCGGGGUAACGGCCCACCAAGGCAACGAUCAGUAGGGGUUCUGAGAGGAAGGUCCCCCACAUUGGAACUGAGACACGGUCCAAACUCCUACGGGAGGAAGCAGUGAGGAAUAUUGGUCAAUGGGCGAGAGCCUGAACCAGCCAAGUAGCGUGCAGGAUGACGGCCCUAUGGGUUGUAAACUGCUUUUAUGCGGGGAUAAAGUGAGGGACGUGUCCUUCAUUGCAGGUACCGCAUGAAUAAGGACCGGCUAAUUCCGUG